GACGGAGGAUGCAAGCGUUAUCCGGAAUGAUUGGGCGUAAAGCGUCCGCAGGUGGCAGUUCAAGUCUGCUGUCAAAGACCGGGGCUUAACUUCGGAAAGGCAGUGGAAACUGAACAGCUAGAGUAUGGUAGGGGCAGAGGGAAUUCCUGGUGUAGCGGUGAAAUGCGUAGAGAUCAGGAAGAACAUCGGUGGCGAAGGCGGGUCUCUGGGCAACAACUGACGCUGAGGAGCGAAAGCGUGGGGAGCGAACAGG
rnacentral:rRNA from 1 species